CUGAGUAAUCUUCUGAGACGAGUGAGUGGGGAAGGGAAGAGGUCUGGUUGACUCCCCUGCCGUGAAGGGAUUCCCCGUCACUGGAAAGGAGAGGGCUCCACCAGGGAAACAUACUGAGAGCCAGCGCUCGCUGAUGAGCUAAGCAGGAGAAAGCUGCAGAUUCAUCCCUACUCAUCCAUUGGCCCUGCUAAUUAGGCAGAAACACUGGGGGACAACUGGUUUUCUAAUAGGAAGACAACUAUCCAACAUGGUCCUCACUAGAAAGUUGUGUAAGGAGUUGGGUAUCUUGCCAGAUACGCCACUUAGCCCCCCGGGACCUGGAAAGAGACAAAGUAAAAUUAUAAAUUACUUCCCCAAGAGGGAGGAAUGCAUGAGUGAACAAAUUGAACCAAUUAUUGACGAAGUCACUCCUCUCCCCUUACUUACCUUGACCGGUCACAUUACUUCAAAGAGCUUCAACACAACUCUGGAAACACAAAUUCCCCAAGAAGCCUGGCGCAAGAGCUAGUUCUAGCUGAGAAACCUGUGGAAAAUAUUUCUGUCACCUAUAACCAGCGGCCCCUGGCAGAAUUAACAACAUGCCACCAAGACCAGGCGCCCACUUCCAAAUAUACUCAAACUGAACUGAGUGAUGGCCAUCUUCAGGCCCAUUUCCAAGAUAUAAAUAUAGACCUUUCCAACAUAAAAAAUUACUUGACAAUAACAAAUGGGUUAUUGCUGACCCUUGUGGAAAAUUUUAUUCCCCAACCAAAAGAGACAACAGCAACCGAUGCACCCCAAGUGCAUAAACCAGAUGAACUUGUGCAUAACCCAGAUGAACUAGUGAAGAUGAGACAAGCAGUAACAACCAAGAAAUUGCAAAAAAAUAGAUCAAAAGUCCGGGAAAAGAAAACUAAGAACAUUAAAACAACAAGGAAAAUAAAGAUAAGCCGACAUAAACAAUGGCAGAAAUUAUUUAAUCUACUCCCAUUGGACUCAAAUAAAUCUGCUGCACGAGAUAAAAAAGAGAAUGGCAGGAAGGGGAAAAGAAGCCAUCGCCAAAGCUAAUGGCUAAGGUGGCAUCUCUGAACCAGAAUUCAGAACUAAGUGGGAGGACGGAAGCAACGUCCCAGAGUUCUGGUAACAGUUCACUCAGCGAACCAGAUUCUGGGGGAGAAGUGGUCCCUAACAAUGAAGGCAGCAAACCGCUUAGCAAAUCGGGAAAUGGGGACGAUGCAAUGCCCAAUCGCGAUGACAACACUAUACAAGAUGGGCAAACCUUUAUUCAGGCAAGAUGUUGGAACCUGAUUUUAAAUCCCUCAAUAUUAGUAUUUACAAACUUCCCAAAAUCAAAGGGCUUCCUUACAGGGAAAGAACGAAGAAUGAGCUCCUUGAACGUUCUGAAUGAUAUAUUGCCAGGAGCAGUAAAGCCAUAUGACAUUAUUUCUGUAGAUUAUUUGCAUCAUGAUGGUUGUUCAAUGAGAGCAAUGAUCACAUUUAGAGACCAGAACCUGGCCAAGUUUAUCUACAGAUCAAGAUAUAUAUUCUUAAAGGCCCAGAUAAAAAUUCUCAGAUUUUUUGAAAACAAGGCACCACCGAAUCCCCUUCUGGAAGCCAAGCACGCAAACCCUAGUAAGGAGAAACAACCUCCCAAAACCCGGCCUGGUCUCCAGAAACGAGAGCUUCAAAAAUUAAAAAGGAAAGAUGCCCACCUGCAAGACCUGCAACUUCAAGAGAAUGAAGAUGAGGAUCUUUUUUCCGCGGAAGAAAAUACCUUAAUUAGGCAAUUUCGCCAUUUUCCAUCUCCAAUACAAGCUGAAAUAUUAGAAAGAUUGGAUAUGCUAAGAAUUAAGCUGGCUGGGAGAGAUACAAACAAGGAAAUCAAUAUGGACGCCCUUAAAAAGGACCAGACUUCCUAUAAUUUGAACCCUACACAAGAACCAAACCCAGCGGCCUGUCGGCCAUGUUACCUUCAGACAAUGGCUGAGAUUAAUUUACUCCCAAUUAAGGAAGCCCAGCACACUGAAGAGAACACUACACCACCUCCAAUAAAGAGAACCAUCCCGAAGGUGAAUUCACCAGGCUCUUGGGACAAGCUGAGGUAUCUAGAUGAGGCGGAAUUAGGCCACAAUCAGGUUCCGGAAAAACACCUACGGAAAGAGAUAACACACUUCAAAGGCCCGGUGACCACUAAUGUCAGUAUUCAACAGUUAACAGCCGAAACUAUAGAACAUUUGGCUAGUUUGCCAUGUAUGGAGAGCAAUGGGCCGGCUCAUAAAAAAGUAAUCCCUAAAAGCACCUUGGGAAAUAAUUGACAAAGAUUAGACCAGAGACAAACACCAGCCGGCUCCCUAUCUCCGCGGAAAUCCGAUAUCAUUAGAUACGAACAGACUCAACCCUCACUCACAAAUCAAGCAAAAGCAGUUGUUUCCUUGAAAGACGCACCCAACCUACCCCAGAGCCUUAAAAUUGUCUCCUGGAAUGUUAACGGCUGGGCGACAAAGCAAAUGGAUCCUGAAGCAAUGAAUCUCAUCUCUUCUUUCGACAUUGUAUGCCUCCAAGAGACCUGGUCCCAACAAAGUAUUGUUCUCCCAAAUUAUUGCUCCUUUAGCUCCUGUGCUCGUAAACUAACCAACAGGGGUCGCCCCCAAGUUGGCCUCGCCUGUCUUAUUUCAACCAGCUUACCCCUCACUAUUUGCGAGGAAAUUAAAUCUUCCCCUUACUUUCUCACCAUAAAGAUUCAUCUCCCAAAGACCAAAAGCCCAUGGUUGAUAACUACAGUAUAUCUGCCCCCAGCAAUUAAUGAUUUCGACCGCAAUGAAAGGUGGUCUGAACUUUCGUCUUGGCUCCAUGAUCUCCAAACAACUAACCCAGGACUCCCUCAAAUCCUCUUAGGCGACUUUAAUGCAAGAAUAGGUCCCAACGACGAUGAUAUAAUAUCUCCCGCAGCACUCCUGGACAAUCCCCUGCAGCCCCCCUGGGGAAACAGAUGCUCUCUUGAUCCUAUAACAAAUGCGUCGGGAGGCUGAUGGCCCAACUGGCCAUGGAAAACGAUCUCUGCAUCGCAAAUGGUAACAUUACUCCCUUGUCCUCGCAGCAAUUAACGUGCAUCACUUCCCGGGGAACCAGUGUUGUCGACUACAUUUUAUUGACGCCGGAGCUAUUCUCAAUUUCUACAAAAAUGGAAGUGGCUGAAUAUUUUGGUGGUGACCACCUUCCAUUGACUCUAAUGUUAAACCUAAUAGAGCCACUCCCAGUCUCCUCAAACUAUAGAACCAUGGUACAAAGCCACCCUGUAUACAAAACAAAGAAAUGGACAAGCCUCAGCUCCUCUCUUGCCCUGGACAUACAAAAAUCAUUUGAUAUGUCUGCAGUUCCCUCUGAUCCAAUCCUGCCCGCUGACCAAUACCGGAAAUUACUUGAUGCUUUCUCAACAACUUACAUAACCACCACCUCGCCUACUUACCAACGCCUCUUCUCUGAAUCGCCCUGGUUUGACAAGGAAUGUAAAGCCCUAAGAAGGCGAAUUAGGAAAAUGGUCAGAAUCAUCAAAUCUUCCAACGACCCCCAAACCCGUGCAAAGCUCAUAGAUAUUAAAAGGACAUAUAGAAACAUGAUUCAUUGCAAGAAACAGCAGUACAUCUUUGAGGCUUGGUCCACUCUUCGUUCGGCUGUAGAGAGGCAUGACUCCCGCUCCUUCUGGCGCCUAGUUAGACCUUCGGCACCAUUCAAUCCAGCUACCCAGAUUUCCGCGGAUGAAUGGAUUGCUUAUUAUUCAACUAGUUUCGCUUCUCCAAACCAUCUUACAGAUCUCCUUCAAUCCCCAUUGGACCUCAGUUCCUGCUCUCUUAGUCCCACUUCUUCAAUAAACUUUACUUCAACUCGCAUUUUCAACAUCAUAAUGUCAAUGCAAAGGAAUAAGGCCCCCGGCCCAGACAUGGUCCCGUUGGACCUUUUCCUGACUGAUCCUCUUUGGUGGAGCGAACACCUGACUCCUGUAUUCACCGCUAUCUCCUCCGCCCUAGACAUCCCCGACUCCUGGAGAGAAGCUAUAAUAGUUCCGAUCUUCAAAGGCGGCCAGCCAAACAUCCCUAGGAACUAUCGCCCCAUCAGCUUAUUAUCCAUCCCGUGGAAAAUAUUUGCCGCUGUUUUACUGGAGGAACUUCUCUCAUGGGUCCAGGAGAGGAACAUUCUACCGCUAGAACAGAUUGGUUUCCGAAAGUCAGCGUCAACCAUGGACCAUUGUCUAACUCUCUUUCACCUUGCCAGUAAAUACACUGCUCCAAGGCAAGGCCACCUAUUUGCCGCUUUCAUGGACCUGGAGGCCGCCUUUGAUUCCAUUCCUAGGCAGAGAUUAUGGUCCAAACUUGCCCAUCUGGGAAUUGAUCCGCACCUUCUCUCCCUAAUUAUCUCCCUUUAUUCAAACACCACAGCUCGCGUCCGAACUAGUCCAAACGGCUCCCCCACUACUCCAUUUCCAACGGCCAAGGGCGUCCGACAAGGUUGCCUCUUGGCCCCUUUACUGUUUAAUCUCUAUCUUCAUGAUGCAAUUUCCACUUUGAAGCUAGCAUCUAAGUAUCCUCCUCACUUAGCAGGCCACCCCGUUGCUUCCCUUUUCUAUGCUGAUGAUGCCGUCAUCUUAUCCAGAACAGCUGCGGAUCUAGCAAAUGCAGUUAAUGCAUUUAUCGCCUAUUGUAAGGCGGAAGCUCUUAAUAUUAAUUAUAAAAAAUCGAAAGUCCUCCACUUCACUCGUUCCCGCAAACUCAAGUUGGAGCCGCUUAAGAUCACAGGUGGCUACUUAGAAAAGGUAAAAGCCUUUAAAUAUUUAGGAUUAAUAUUCACCUAUAAUCUCUCCUGGACCACCCAUCUACAAUCUGCCUUUCUCGCUGCAACCACGACCUCUAACGCCAUUGUCCGAUUUUACCACCAGAAGGGCGGCAAACACCUUCCAGCAGCAAUUCAAAUAUUUAAUGCCAAAGUCGUCCCUAAAUUAUUAUAUGGAUGUGAAGUAUGGACUACAGCAAUAUCAGGUAACCUGGAUCGUCCACUUCAUAUGUUUCUGAGAUCUCUUUCCGGCGUCCCGAGAUGUGUCUCAGGUGCAGCCCUACGACUCGAGUUCGCCCAGCCUUCAAUUGCUAGACGAGCAUGGAGCCGAGCCAUUUCCUACACCCUCCACCUAUUAGCAUCGGAUGCUCGAAUUAGAGGUGGCUUUUCCAAUCUGAUCCUAAGAGAUAUUCAUAAUUCCCCUUGGAAAACUACAAUUAACCUCAAAUUCCGCUCUCUUCUCAAUCUGAAUUGUAAAACUGUUCUUAACUUAGAGUGUAUCAGCCCGGUGGCCCUACCCCUAAUUAAAAAGAAACUACAGCAACUUGACUUCUCCAACACAGCUUCUUGUGCAAGAGGACCGUGUUCAGGCCUAGCCCUAGCUAUUCCACCCCCUGAAGGGAUCCCUCUAUACUGCUUCACAAUUUCUUCGGAGACUAAGCGAAGGGCUUUUACCUGUGCCCGUCUCAACUGUUUUCCUACAGCAGUUCUGUCGGGUCGUUAUUCCAGAGUUCCCAUCGCAAACAGAACAUGCUCCUGUAAUGACACGGCCCUGGAGACUAUGGAACAUGUAAUGCUCUUCUGUCCCAACUGGACAGAUGAAAGAUCUCGGUUUUUAACUCCCCUCGUGAAUAAGUUCCAUCUCCCAAUCCAGCCUUGGAUAGUGUCCCUCUUUUUGCAGGAUUCUGAUUGUUGGAUUACUGAGAUGACAGCUAAUUUCCUGCUUAGUGUGAUGAAGAGGAAAGCGGCACUAACUUCUUCCUUAACACCACAGAUGCAGUCGAUACGCCGCACAACCGAACGAAGUUCCAAGUAGCCUUAUUGUACAAGGACAAUCGAGUUAGGACUAAUCUGAGGAGCUGAAGGACCCUUUAACGGUCCUCCUCCAGCCUCAGCAGCUUUUGUUUUUUUUUUUGUUUUUUUUCACUUUCUUUAAGUAUUCGCCCAGGACGAUGUCUACCUCUACCUCCCCACCCCCAUUUUAUGUUGUUAUUUCAAUGUAUAUCAUGCUAUGGCCACUCGGCUAAUGCAAUAAAUAAAU